AUUGAACGCUGGCGGCAUGCCUAACACAUGCAAGUCGAACGGCAGCAUGGUCUGUAGCAAUACAGACUGAUGGCGAGUGGCGGACGGGUGAGUAAUACGUAGGGAUCUGCCUUGAAGAGGGGGACAACCCGGGGAAACUCGGGCUAAUACCGCAUGAUACUCUGAGGAGGAAAGGCUAGUGGCAACACUGGCGCUUUAAGAGGAACCUACGACCGAUUAGCUAGUUGGUGAGGUAACGGCUCACCAAGGCGAUGAUCGGUAGCUGGUCUGAGAGGAUGAUCAGCCACACUGGGACUGAGACACGGCCCAGACUCCUACGGGUGGCAG
rnacentral:rRNA from 1 species